UACGAAGGGUGCAAGCGUUACUCGGAAUUACUGGGCGUAAAGCGUGCGUAGGUGGUUUCUUAAGUCUGCUGUGAAAGCCCCGGGCUCAACCUGGGAAUUGCAGUGGAUACUGGGGAGCUAGAGUGCGGGUAGAGGGUAGUGGAAUUCCCGGUGUAGCGGUGAAAUGCGUAGAGAAUCGGGAGGAACACCAGUGGCGAAGGCGGCUACCUGGACCAGCACUGACACUGAGGCACGAAAGCGUGGGGGAGCAAACAGG
rnacentral:rRNA from 1 species